rnacentral:lncRNA from 1 species
GGGGCUUUUGUAAUUGAAACAGAAAGAAGCUUUCUUGAGGGUUUUUAUUGCUUUUCCAAAAAUUAGGUUGAGAUUGCCUGCCUGCAAAAGUAGUUCAGCUCGGGUUUAAGAAGACUGGACCUCAAGGAAGCAUUUGAUAUGUAUCUUUUCAGAAAUUUGAUUCCACCCUCCUAAGGACCCCAGAAGAACAUGGGAUGCAGGGGAAUGGAUCAGGCUUUUAAGAAAUUACUUCUGUGAUGAAGAGAGGAAAAGAUCCCAGGUAGGUUUUUUAUUACUACAUGUCAUCAAGGAAACAACCAGCUUGGGAAUUGCCUCACCAGGUUGCCUGGACAUUC